rnacentral:rRNA from 1 species
CUACGGGGGGCAGCAGUGAGGAAUAUUGCACAAUGGGGGGAACCCUGAUGCAGCAACGCCGCGUGGAGGAUGACGCAUUUCGGUGUGUAAACUCCUUUUAUAUGUCAAGAAAAUGUCGGUAGCAUAUGAAUAAGCACCGGCUAACUCCGUGCCAGCAGCCGCGGUAAUACGGAGGGUGCAAGCGUUACUCGGAAUCACUGGGCGUAAAGGACGCGUAGGCGGGUUGGAAAGUCAGGUGUGAAAUCCUACAGCUUAACUGUAGAACUGCAUUUGAAACUUCUAAUCUAGAGUAUGGGAGGGGGAGAUGGAAUUAGUGGUGUAGGGGUAAAAUCCGUAGAUAUCACUAGGAAUACCUAAAGCGAAGGCGAUCUCCUGGAACAUUACUGACGCUAAGGCGUGAAAGCGUGGGGAGCAAACAGGAUUAGAUACCCGGGUAGUC